CGUUUGUUUUUACAAAAGAUUGUUUGAGCAAGUGAAGAAAAGAGACAAAACUUCUCCUUGGUUUUUAUUCAGAAUUAAAACAUCACCGUAUUGCACAUUACUAUUUUAUUAUCUGGCUACGGAUAACAUCAGAAUUUAUUACUCACGAUGACUACGGUUUUGUUAUUAAGAGGAACCAGGAACCUGUUAAAAGUUAGUACGACCAAGAACCCUGCUAAAAUAAAAGAGGCCGCAUUGCUUCAUAUUUGCGGAAAAUCUACAUUUCGGGAAUACUGUUCAACACU
rnacentral:rRNA from 1 species